UACAUUUGUCACGGAUUUGGUUCCAACGAUCCGGCAACUGCCAGAUCAGGAUCAAAAGGGAAUCCGGUUAGAAUCCGGAGCUGUACCCGCAGCUGUAAGCCUCGAAUGAUCUUUCUGAAACCCCAGCCACUGUCCGGCAACUGACGAACGGGAAGGCAUCAGAAAGAGAGGUGAGCCAGAAGACCUGCCAAAAUCCUAUUGAAUAU
rnacentral:ncRNA from 1 species